rnacentral:rRNA from 1 species
AGCGGGAUGAGACCGAGAUGAAAAUCCCUUCGGGGAGUUGUAAUCUGAUUUAUGUUGAGUGUUCAGUGAAUGUAAGUCACAUGGAAUUGUGUACCGUGGAGGGUGAGAGUCCCGUCCAGCAUUCACAGGAAUUUCUCGUACGACGUAAAUUCAACCGAGUCGGGUAGCUUGAGAUCGCUGCUCUAAUAGGUGGUAAACUUCAUCUAAGUCUAAAUACUGGUGGGAGACCGAUAGCGAACAAGUACCGUGAGGGAAAGAUGGAAAGCACUUUGAAAAGAGGGUGAAAAGUACCUGAAACCGCCACGGGGGAAGCGUAUUGUAUCAGUGUGGUGCGGUGUCUGUUCAGCAAACUUCGGUUUGUGUAUUCAGCACUAGCUGUGUCGGGAUGGCUGUUGGAUUAUGGAUGUUGCAUAGUCCGAUGGUGAGGGCUCCCUUCGGGUGAGGAUUUCGACAAAAUGAUACGAUUCGACCCGUCUUGAAACACGGACCAAGGAGUUUAGCAUUAAUGCGAGUCGAAGAGUGAUAAACUCAGAGGCGCAGUGAAAGCGAACAUUUGGAAACCUUAACAGGUUGAGGAGGUGUUGCGUCGUUGACAAAACAUCCUACCUAGAGCAUUAAUGCUGAGACCCGAAAGAUGGUGAACUAUGCCGGAGUAGGGCAAAGCCAGAGGAAACUCUGGUGGAGGCUCGUAGCGAUGCUGACGUGCAAAUCGCUCGUCGAACUUGGGUAUAGGGGCGAAAGACUAAUCGAACCAUCUAGUAGCUGGUUCCCUCCGAAGUUUCUCUCAGAUAGCGGGCCGACAGUGGGUUGUUUUGUGUGGUAAAGCGAAUGAUUAGCGUAUUUGGGGACGUAAUGUCUUCGGUCGAUUCUCAAACUUUAAAUACGCAAGAUAGAGAUGGUUGCUUAAGUGAACCUCUCUACUGAAAACGUCGGCCCUGUGGGCCACUUUUGGUAAGCAGAACUGGCGAU